rnacentral:rRNA from 1 species
CCUACGGGAGGCAGCAGUAGGGAAUCUUCCGCAAUGGACGAAAGUCUGACGGAGCAACGCCGCGUGAACGAUGAAGGCCUUCGGGUCGUAAAGUUCUGUUGUUAGGGAAGAACAAGUGCUAGUUGAAUAAGCUGGCACCUUGACGGUACCUAACCAGAAAGCCACGGCUAACUACGUGCCAGCAGCCGCGGUAAUACGUAGGUGGCAAGCGUUGUCCGGAAUUAUUGGGCGUAAAGCGCGCGCAGGCGGUUUCUUAAGUCUGAUGUGAAAGCCCCCGGCUCAACCGGGGAGGGUCAUUGGAAACUGGGAAACUUGAGUGCAGAAGAGGAAAGUGGAAUUCCAAGUGUAGCGGUGAAAUGCGUAGAGAUUUGGAGGAACACCAGUGGCGAAGGCGACUUUCUGGUCUGUAACUGACGCUGAGGCGCGAAAGCGUGGGGAGCAAACAGGAUUAGAUACCCUGGUAGUCCACGCUGUAAACGAUGAGUGCUAAGUGUUAGAGGGUUUCCGCCUUUAGUGCUGCAGUUAACGCAUUAAGCACUCCGCCUGGGGAGUACGGUCGCAAGCUGAAACUUAAAGGAAUUGACGGNUUGAGAGNGCGAGACGACGACGAGGAGAGG